UGGCUGCAGAUGGGAACGGGGAGGACGC
rnacentral:sRNA from 1 species